AGUCACUGACAUUAGAUACCCGUGUAGUCCAGGGUGUAAACGCUGCGGGCUUGGUGUUGGGGGUCCUUUGAGGGCGCCCAGUGCCGGAGAGAAGUUGUUAAGCCUGCUGCUUGGGAGUACGUCCGCAAGGAUGAAACUUAAAGGAAUUGGCGGGGGAGCACCGCAACGGGAGGAGCGUGCGGUUCAAUUGGAUUCAACGCCGGACAACUCACCAGGAGCGACGGUUACAUGAAGGCCAGGCUGAUGACCUUGCCUGAUUUUCCG
rnacentral:rRNA from 1 species